GCGAACGCUGGCGGCAGGCCUAACACAUGCAAGUCGAACGAACCUUUCGGGGUUAGUGGCGGACGGGUGAGUAACACGUGGGAACGUGCCUUUAGGUUCGGAAUAACUCAGGGAAACUGGUGCUAAUACCGAAUGUGCCCUUCGGGGGAAAGAUUUAUCGCCUUUAGAGCGGCCCGCGUCUGAUUAGCUAGUUGGUUGAGGUAAUGGCUCACCAAGGCGACGAUCAGUAGCUGGUCUGAGAGGAUGAUCAGCCACAUUGGGACUGAGACACGGCCCAAACUCCUACGGGAGGCAGCAGUGGGGAAUCUUGCGCAAUGGGCGAAAGCCUGACGCAGCCAUGCCGCGUGAAUGAUGAAGGUCUUAGGAUUGUAAAAUUCUUUCACCGGGGACGAUAAUGACGGUACCCGGAGAAGAAGCCCCGGCUAACUUCGUG
rnacentral:rRNA from 1 species